rnacentral:rRNA from 1 species
UGGGGAAUUUUGGACAAUGGGGGCAACCCUGAUCCAGCCAUGCCGCGUGAGUGAAGAAGGCCUUCGGGUUGUAAAGCUCUUUCGCGAGGGAAGAAAUUGCACCGGAUAAUACCUGGUGUAGAUGACGGUACCUUGAUAAGAAGCACCGGCUAACUACGUGCCAGCAGCCGCGGUAAUACGUAGGGUGCGAGCGUUAAUCGGAAUUACUGGGCGUAAAGCGUGCGCAGGCGGUUUCGUAAGACAGGCGUGAAAUCCCCGGGCUUAACCUGGGAACUGCGCUUGUGACUGCGAGGCUAGAGUACGGCAGAGGGAGGUAGAAUUCCACGUGUAGCAGUGAAAUGCGUAGAGAUGUGGAGGAAUACCGAUGGCGAAGGCAGCCUCAUGGGCCAGUACUGACGCUCAUGCACGAAAGCGUGGGGAGCAAACAGGAUU